rnacentral:rRNA from 1 species
AUUGAACGCUGGCGGCAGGCCUAACACAUGCCAGUCGAGCGGAUGAAGGGAGCUUGCUCCUGGAUUCAGCGGCGGACGGGUGAGUAAUGCCUAGGAAUCUGCCUGGUAGUGGGGGAUAACGUCCGGAAACGGGCGCUAAUACCGCAUACGUCCUGAGGGAGAAAGUGGGGGAUCUUCGGUCCUCACGCUAUCAGAUGAGCCUAGGUCGGAUUAGCUAGUUGGUGGGGUAAAGGCCUACCAAGGCGACGAUCCGUAACUGGUCUGAGAGGAUGAUCAGUCACACUGGAACUGAGGCACGGUCCAGACUCCUACGGGAGGCAGCAGUGGGGAAUAUUGGACAAUGGGCGAAAGCCUGAUCCAGCCAUGCCGCGUGUGUGAAGAAGGUCUUCGGAUUGUAAAGCACUUUAAGUUGGGAGGAAGGGCAGUAAGUUAAUACCUUGCUGUUUUGACGUUACCAACAGAAUAAGCACCGGCUAACUUCGUG